CCAGUUUUUAAAGUCUAUUUAUAGAAGACUCUUAGCUGAAUGGGUACAUUUUCCUGCCACAGAAUCAGCUCGAAGGCGUGUGGCUGCUGGAUUUGAGGCUAAAUUUAAUGUGCCAGAUAUAUUGGGGGUCAUUGACUGUACUCACGUAAAAAUAUUUUCCCCUCCUGGACCACAAGGCGCCCACUACAAAAAUAGGAGAAAGGAUGCACACUCCAUAAAUGUCCAAUUGGUUGUAGAUGCAAAUUGUAGAAUAAUCAAUGUUAAUGCCCGAUACCCUGGCAGGGUACAUGAUGCUUUUAUUUGGCACCACUCGAGUGUCAGAAACGAAUUGAAAAGGCUGCAUGAAAGAAGAAUUGGAAAUUACUUCCUGUUGGGUGACUCAGGUUACCCAUUAGAGCCAUGGCUAAUGACGCCAAUCCUACAUGCAGAGCUCAACACUCCAGAAAAAAAAUACACAGACUGGCACUGUCAAGCUCGUAAUACGGUCGAAAGAGCAAAUGGCUACCUCAAAGGUAGCCUAAGAUGUUUAGGUGUUGACCGGGUCCUCCACUAUGCCCCAACAAAAGCAGCGGAAAUAAUUUACGCUUGCUGCAUUAUUUUCAAUUUAAUGAAACAUUUUGGGUAUUAAAAUAGUUUUCAGUA